CAACCCCUAAGCACAGCUUAUUGUUGGGCGUCUACGUCUGUAGUGCCUCAAAGACAUUGGCGGAGCGGCAGCAGUCCUCUGAGCGUAGUAAUUCUUUAUCUCGCUUCUGUUAGGCGCUGCUCCCCCGGCCGUAAAACCCCCAAUUUUUUCU
rnacentral:misc_RNA from 1 species